GCUGAAUCUUUCUCCAUCUCAUCAUGUACUAUCCUCCCAAGUGUAGUACCAAAAAUCUCCUGUUUUCGUCGUACUUGCCUGAUAUAACCAUCCAUCCCCCACCGGCUUAUAAAAUCGGCAUACGAAGUGCACAAGGCUCUCUACCACUGAAGGAUCUGGGAAGGUUAAGGUGCAUAUAACUUUACCAUGAUAAGCAGGGAGGUUAUUUUCAAAAUUCAAACUUUCAAGAAGAGCAGUUAAACAGCAAAAAAGGUAACAAGCG
rnacentral:lncRNA from 1 species